CGCGUAGGAACCUGCCUGAUAGAGGGGGAUAGCCCAGAGAAAUUUGGAUUAAUACCGCAUAAUGUCUACGGACCAAAGCAGGGGAUCUUCGGACCUUGCACUAUCAGAUGGGCCUGCGUGAGAUUAGCUAGUUGGUGAGGUAAUGGCUCACCAAGGCGACGAUCUCUAGCUGGUUUGAGAGGAUGAUCAGCCACACUGGAACUGAGACACGGUCCAGACUCCUACGGGAGGCAGCAGUGGGGAAUAUUGGACAAUGGGCGCAAGCCUGAUCCAGCCAUGCCGCGUGUGUGAAGAAGGCUC
rnacentral:rRNA from 1 species